AGUUGGUGGAUUGAUUUGUCUGCUUAAUUGCGUUAACGAACGAGACCCCCGCCUGCUAAAUAGUCGCACCAAUGAAUUAUCAUUGGCAGCGGGUUCUUAGAGGGACUUUCUGUGACUAACAGAAGGAAGUUGGGGGCAAUAACAGG
rnacentral:rRNA from 1 species